UUCUUACGGUUCAUGUGGACCCUAUGGCUAAAAUGGCCGUAUUUUCACCUCAAAAUUUACUCUGAGUACAGACAAACCUGCGCAUCUGUAAAAAAUUUCAGGCAUAGCAUGCCCUAGAUAAAUAAAUUUCAAAUAUGUUUUAUGUUUUAGAAAAAUAAAAACUUACCAGGAUUUUGCCGUACACUUUUUUUCAUUCCUCCAGAAGGUGCCAAAAUAAACUAAGUUGGGAAACAGGUUUGAGAACUUCCCCACAGGUAAUAAUUGAAGUGAGCUGUAUUGCUUGACAUGGACAAUAGAUACCCGACAAUAAUUGGUUAUUAAAACUGUGUACCUGAGUGGACCAUAUCAAGGUAAACUCAACUGUUUGUUAA
rnacentral:lncRNA from 1 species